AAAUUUCUUCAUCGUUCAAAUAUAAAUAAGGAAAAACAACUCACUGGUGGAAAAUUACAAGGAUAAGAUAAAUGAAGAAUUCAAAAGAAUAACCACUGUAAGUCUUCGACAUUUAUGGCCAAACGUGAUGCUUGCACCUCCAAAUUAAUGGAUGUAGUCUCAUCAAGGGGAGGAACUUCAGGACUGAGGAGAAGGCACAUUAAGAAUCAGCUUCUAGAGAACAAUGCAAUUGAAGUACGGUGAGAGGUGGCCAUUCGUUGCCUGGUUGUCUACCUUGGAGAAAAGGACCAG